rnacentral:rRNA from 1 species
UCCAAGUUGCUUCGGCGGCGCGGCACCCCUUAACGGGGGCGCCGCAGCCCUGCCUCUCCGGAGGUUCGGGGCGCCCGCCGGAGGUACGAAACUCUGUAUUAUAGUGGCAUCUCUGAGUAUAAAACAAAUAAGUUAAAACUUUCAACAACGGAUCUCUUGGUUCUGGCAUCGAUGAAGAACGCAGCGAAAUGCGAUAAGUAAUGUGAAUUGCAGAAUUCAGUGAAUCAUCGAAUCUUUGAACGCACAUUGCGCCCGGUAGUACUCUACCGGGCAUGCCUGUUCGAGCGUCAUUUCAACCCUCAAGCCCUGCUUGGUGUUGGGGCCCUACGGCUGCCGUAGGCCCUGAAAGGAAGUGGCGGGCUCGCUACAACUCCGAGCGUAGUAAUUCAUUAUCUCGCUAGGGAGGUUGCGGCGUGCUCCUGCCGUUAAAGACCCAUCUUUAACCAAGGUUGACCUCGGAUCAGGUAGGAAUACCCGCUGAACUUAAGCAUAUCAAUAAGCGGAGGAAAAGAAACCAACAGGGAUUGCCCUAGUAACGGCGAGUGAAGCGGCAACAGCUCAAAUUUGAAAUCUGGCUUCGGCCCGAGUUGUAAUUUGUAGAGGAUGCUUUUGGUGAGGUGCCUUCUGAGUUCCCUGGAACGGGACGCCAGAGAGGGUGAGAGCCCCGUAUAGUCGGCCACCGAUCCUUUGUAAAGCUCCUUCGACGAGUCGAGUAGUUUGGGAAUGCUGCUCAAAAUGGGAGGUAUAUCUCUUCUAAAGCUAAAUAUAGGCCAGAGACCGAUAGCGCACAAGUAGAGUGAUCGAAAGAUGAAAAGCACUUUGAAAAGAGGGUUAAAUAGCACGUGAAAUUGUUGAAAGGGAAGCGCUUGUGACCAGACUUGUGCCGGGCUGAUCAUCCAGUGUUCUCACUGGUGCACUCGACCCGGCUCAGGCCAGCGUCGGUUUUCGUGGGGGGAUAAAAGCUUCGGGAACGUGGCACCUUCGGGUGUGUUAUAGCCCGUUGCUUAAUACCUCCGUGGAGACCGA